AUCCUUUCAAGAGAGAGAGAGAGGGGGGGGGGGGGAGAGAGGGAGAGGAUUUAUAGGGGUUUCGAAGAGGGGAGAGAGGCACAGCUGGCAUUGUUGAAGAGGGGAGAGGUGCUGGUUGACGAAGGGGGGAGAGAGAGCAUGGGCGAUCUCGAAACUUCUUUCGACCUGUUUGGCACUUGGAUCAGGAGGCUUUUAUAAAGGAACCCACCCAAACAAAUGAACCAUCCCAAACCACCAUCGGUUCGGUUUGAUUCAAGCCGAACUGCUCGAUUCAGGUUGGUUCGGCAUUCCCUGGCUCAAGGUGUUCAUCUUGAUGGAAAUGUUGGGUUGUACCUAUAUCAGCACCUACUAAUAUAAUAUGCAUGAAAUUUUUGUCCUUAGUUUCUCAGCUAAUAUAAAUUGAUAUAUCAAAUUGACCAAUGUGAUAUUAUCUCAUCUUUAAAAAUUCUUGUUAGUGUUGCAAGCAAAAGCAUGAGCUUCAGGCUGCUUGGACUUGGUUUGUUACAUAAAAGGGUGUUCAAGCUCUACUAGUGUUCAAGCUUGUGUUAUUACCUCGUUGCCAAACUGGAAUGACAUUUUUGCCAAAGCCCAAGCAUCUACUUAUCUUUGCGAGCCCAAGGUGUUGAAGCUUUGCUUGUUUAUUAGUCGGUCUUAAAUGAGACUUUAGUUUGCAUUCACACAUUAGUGUCGUGUCAAAUGGAUAAGAGCUGGUGCUUCGUAGUUCAUAUCACAUGCUUCAUGCAAUUUUAAUAUUAAAUUAUUAUUGUUGUUGUUAUUGUUAUUCUUAUUGUUAUUCUUAUUCUUAUUCUUAUGAAUUCCCCAAUGAGUUAACUACAGCGUUGGGUUCAGGAAUUAAUCAGGCAGGAGGCUUGGAACAAGCCUUGGGUCUGACUAACAACUUAAAAAAAAAAAAGAACAAGAAAGAAAAAAAAGAAGGCAUAAGCUGUGACACUUAUGCUGCUUGAACUUGCUUAUGCUAGGCAAGUAGUUGAAGGGCGAGCUGUUAUAAGCUAUUUUUGGCAUAAUUAUUUAUGUCUGCAUUGUUUUCUUUUUAUGAACAAAUAUACCCUCAGCCAAAAGUUUUAGCGUAACAAAUUUAAGGAAAAACGUGUGGUGUAACAAUUAUUCUUAUAGGCAUGGCCACAAGGUUAUCCCUAUUCUACUUUUUCUUAUUCUUGAAACAAGCACAACUUCACAUCUUUGUAUUUCUGUUGGAAUAGGGUUGGCAAGACUUGGAUGGUCUGCUUUUCCAUGGAUAACCAGGUGCACCCAUUUCUUCAUUAGGUUAUUGUCGUUCUUAUAACAUGUCUGAUAAAAUGGGUAAAUCUGAGCUUCUUUCUCUGCUCUCAAGCAUGCAAGGUUUGUCUUUUCUUCUCUCUUGGUGGCGGUUGUCUUUUGUUGUAGUUGGUAUUAGUUCUACUCAAGGUUUGCAGUGCAGGUUUUGGUAUCCAUACUGGUACUAGGGCUGGUUCGUGGUACCAACAUUCGUAUGUGCCCCAUACCGAGUAUUAUUUUGCUACCAGUACGGUACGGUAGGUGCAGUAUGGUGAGCCAUCUAGUAGUUCUUCCUAAUUCUCUUACUUUUCUUUUGUUCCCUUGGAGCAGUUUAUAUUCAAACUGAUACACCAAAGUUACAAUGGAUGCAUUGUUUACCUAUAUAUAAAGGUUUAAAGGCUGUUAUAUUUAGCAUCUGGUUUUUCUGUUAUAGCAGCAAUAUAUAAGUUAAGAUGGGUUCUUCUAUUUGGCAUGGUGGCCUUUCUGAAAGAUUUCUAUAUAUAAAGAGCUAUGAUUAUUUGUCAACCAUUUGAGUAAUAGUUAGCAUUUCUUUUUGAAAAACAUUAUACUCAUGGCUUUCUUCAAUUAGCCUUUAUACUUUCAUUGAUGGACUCAUUUUUUUGACUUUCAUGGAAAUGUAUGACAAGUGCACAUAAUUUCCUUUAUGAUUGUUUUCACUUAUCACCUGGAGCAUUUGACUAAGUACCCACACCUUGACUUUAACGAAGACAUUGGUUGGCACCUGAAUAGAGCUAUUUAAGAAAAAUUUUCUUGGAUAUUAAGGAUCCAAGACAUGGUUACGUACCCAUACCUGACACAUGAACCAGUGUCCAUGCAGUGAAGGUUUUCACAAAGUUAUUUUUGUUUCUCCAUUCAUGCGGGAAGAAAUGGUUGCCAAAUAUGUAGCUCCAUUCUCUUUUUUUAUGAGCAAAAACACCCUCAGCCAAAAAAUAUUGCCAGCCUUAGCCAAAAAAAGAAGAAAAUAUAUUGUCGUAUUCCUAUUGCACUAUUAUCCGUAUUUCUGUUGGAAAUGUUGUGUCAAGACUUGGAGCUCUGCUGUUCCACAGGCAUAAAGUUGCAGGCGUUUCUUUCCAGGAUGGUUUUUCCUUUCUUGUCACAUUGUGUCCGAUAACAUGUGAUUCCUUUAUGCGUACAUUCAUACGUACGUACGUACGUACAAACAUGUGUCUCCUUUAUACCUACAUGCAUACAUACAUAGAUAUGACCCCUUUUGUUUCAGGUGAGAGUUGUUAUCAGCAUAUAAGUUAUCGGCAUAUAUUCAGCCUCCUUUAUGUAGGCAACUUGUUGAAGCCAUUUCCUCAGAGUAAUGCUGGUUAUCACUGCUCCAUUCGCCACUCUGUUGGCUGGUUCAACGGCAGUCAAAAGAUUUGUGCAGUACGCCAUAAGUUGGGGGUGUCUGGUGGGUUGCAGUUUGGCCGAUCUGCAAGUGUCAGUGUAAGCACCCAAUUUGGGAGAAAUCACUACAUGAUCAAACCGAGACGAUGGCGAUCCCCAACGAAUGAUGGAUGGGGCCUACAGAAACUGAUACAUGAUUGGUGCAGUGCUCCGUCAUGUGGUGCACGAGGUGUAAGGUAUAAUUUCGGGCUCAAUGAGUGGAGAGGCAAUCUUUAGCAUUUUUGUUUUCUUGGAUAUGUUAUUUUGAAGAGCUUGGUCGCCCCAAAAUGUCUGAUAAUUGGAGAGAUUUGAUUACCCUUAUAUUUUGUGCUUAUGAUGAGGGUUUUGGGAGAGUUUGUGUUGUUUGCUGGGUUGCCCCUUGUAUUAACAAUUGAAAUGAAAUGCUUGCUAGAAGUUGCUAAAAAAUAAUUUGAGAUGCAUGGGAUAUGA